rnacentral:rRNA from 1 species
AGCGAACGCUGGCGGCAGGCCUAACACAUGCAAGUCGAACGGGCGUAGCAAUACGUCAGUGGCAGACGGGUGAGUAACACGUGGGAACCUUCCUAGGGGUACGGAACAACUCAGGGAAACUUGAGCUAAUACCGUAUACGUCCGAGAGGAGAAAGAUUUAUCGCCCUUAGACGGGCCCGCGUCGGAUUAGGUAGUUGGUGGGGUAACGGCCUACCAAGCCGACGAUCCGUAGCUGAUCUGAGAGGAUGAUCAGCCACACUGGGACUGAGACACGGCCCAGACUCCUACGGGAGGCAGCAGUGGGGAAUCUUGGACAAUGGGCGCAAGCCUGAUCCAGCCAUGCCGCGUGAGUGAAGAAGGCCUUAGGGUUGUAAAGCUCUUUUGGCAGGGACGAUAAUGACGGUACCUGCAGAAUAAGCCCCGGCAAACUUCGUGCCAGCCGCCGCAGUAA